UAAAUCCCUUGCCAAAGCCUGAUCUCGUCAGAUUUCAGAAGCUAAGCAGAGCUGGGCCUGGUUAGUUUUUUGGAUGGGAGACAACUGGGAAUACCAGUUGC
rnacentral:rRNA from 1 species